UUCUUUUCGGUGUUUGGCACUGGAAGGUUUGAGCUUCCCAGAGGAAAAUAAAUCCACUAGAAA
rnacentral:tRNA from 1 species